UUGAUCUCCAGAUUAAACCUCAAGGUUGAGAAACAGUUGUCUGUGAAAAGAAAGGAGAAAAACUCCCAAAGAUUCAUCUCCUCUUCCCAAAGCUUUAUGCCCAGUUUAACAAUGGCCUGGUGAAAGCAAUUUUCUCAAUCAUCCUUGAAAGAGUAAUUCACCCUCUCCCUGCAGGAAACCUCACGCAAAAGGAACAGAAGUUGAUGCCAACUGGAAAAAUCCAAUAAUGGGAGCCCAAAGAAGUCAAACUUCUCCUUUCAUGCUCUGAUUUACAUGGAAAUAUGGGGUGAUCGCAUCUGUCAUAAAUUUUAUAAAACAUAGGUUUGGA
rnacentral:lncRNA from 1 species